AAAGAUUUUGGUCUGGCUCAGGAUGAACGCUGGCGGCGUGCCUAAUACAUGCAAGUCGAACGAGUUCUGAUUAUUGAAAGGUGCUUGCAUCUUGAUUUAAUUUUGAACGAGUGGCGGACGGGUGAGUAACACGUGGGUAACCUGCCCUUAAGUGGGGGAUAACAUUUGGAAACAGAUGCUAAUACCGCAUAAAUCCAAGAACCGCAUGGUUCUUGGCUGAAAGAUGGCGUAAGCUAUCGCUUUUGGAUGGACCCGCGGCGUAUUAGCUAGUUGGUGAGGUAACGGCUCACCAAGGCAAUGAUACGUAGCCGAACUGAGAGGUUGAUCGGCCACAUUGGGACUGAGACACGGCCCAAACUCCUACGGGAGGCAGCAGUAGGGAAUCUUCCACAAUGGACGCAAGUCUGAUGGAGCAACGCCGCGUGAGUGAAGAAGGCUUUCGGGUCGUAAAACUCUGUUGUUGGAGAAGAAUGGUCGGCAGAGUAACUGUUGUCGGCGUGACGGUAUCCAACCAGAAAGCCACGGCUAACUACGUGCCAGCAGCCGCGGUAAUACGUAGGUGGCAAGCGUUAUCCGGAUUUAUUGGGCGUAAAGCGAGCGCAGGCGGUUUUUUAAGUCUGAUGUGAAAGCCCUCGGCUUAACCGAGGAAGUGCAUCGGAAACUGGGAAACUUGAGUGCAGAAGAGGACAGUGGAACUCCAUGUGUAGCGGUGAAAUGCGUAGAUAUAUGGAAGAACACCAGUGGCGAAGGCGGCUGUCUGGUCUGUAACUGACGCUGAGGCUCGAAAGCAUGGGUAGCGAACAGGAUUAGAUACCCUGGUAGUCCAUGCCGUAAACGAUGAAUGCUAGGUGUUGGAGGGUUUCCGCCCUUCAGUGCCGCAGCUAACGCAUUAAGCAUUCCGCCUGGGGAGUACGACCGCAAGGUUGAAACUCAAAGGAAUUGACGGGGGCCCGCACAAGCGGUGGAGCAUGUGGUUUAAUUCGAAGCAACGCGAAGAACCUUACCAGGUCUUGACAUCUUUUGAUCACCUGAGAGAUCAGGUUUCCCCUUCGGGGGCAAAAUGACAGGUGGUGCAUGGUUGUCGUCAGCUCGUGUCGUGAGAUGUUGGGUUAAGUCCCGCAACGAGCGCAACCCUUAUGACUAGUUGCCAGCAUUUAGUUGGGCACUCUAGUAAGACUGCCGGUGACAAACCGGAGGAAGGUGGGGAUGACGUCAAAUCAUCAUGCCCCUUAUGACCUGGGCUACACACGUGCUACAAUGGAUGGUACAACGAGUUGCGAGACCGCGAGGUCAAGCUAAUCUCUUAAAGCCAUUCUCAGUUCGGACUGUAGGCUGCAACUCGCCUACACGAAGUCGGAAUCGCUAGUAAUCGCGGAUCAGCACGCCGCGGUGAAUACGUUCCCGGGCCUUGUACACACCGCCCGUCACACCAUGAGAGUUUGUAACACCCGAAGCCGGUGGCGUAACCCUUUUAGGGAGCGAGCCGUCUAAGGUGGGACAAAUGAUUAGGGUGAAGUCGUAACAAG
rnacentral:rRNA from 2 species